GACAACAUACAGCAUAUCAAAAUACCGAACGAAAACCAAAUUCACAUGACUAUUAAUAGAAAGACUUAUCCCAUGUCCUCAGGAGAAAAAGUAACUACUCACAAAGCAUGGAUAUAUUCAUGACCAGAGAAGUAAUGAAUAUCAUAAUGGAUCUGAACAUAUAAUCUUCCACCAAGUAAACCAACUAGCAUCAACUACAAAGAGUAAUCAACACUACUAGCAACCUUACGGGUACCAAUCGGUGUCGCGAGACGGCGAUUGGUUACAAGAGAUAGACUAGGGUUUGGAUAGGAGAUGGUGCUGAUGAAGAUUUUGAUGGAGAUGACUCCCCUCCGACGAAAGGAGUGUUGGUGAUGACGAUGGCGAUGAUUUCCCCCUCCGGGAGGGAAGUUUCCCUAGCAGGAUCGUCCUGCCGGAGCUCUAGAUUGGUUCUGCUCAAAUUCCGCCUCGUGGCGGCGGCGCCUCCUCGAAAAAGCUCCGCCCUAAUUUUUUCCGGACGAAACCCUUCAUAUAGCA
rnacentral:lncRNA from 1 species